AUGGCCAGCAGGAGGGGAGGCCAUGGAGAUGAGGGAGACCAGCCGGAUCAGGGAGAGCCGGCGGACCAGGGAGGACAGGCAGACCCCCGUGGCUACCAGGAGGAGACCUUCGCGGAUCGUGAGGAUUGGGACAGGUAUCGCGCGGAUGAGGGUGUUCUUCCAGGAAACGCGCCGUUGAACUCUUUCCUCGCGAGGAUCGCACGAGGGUUGGCAGCCAAAGCGCGCCAAGGAAGGCAGAUGGGACAGCACAUAUUUAACUACUUCAAAGCUGGGGACAAGGACAGCACCAACAUCUCGAGGGAUGAUUUCCUUGAAUUCAAAAAUCUUCUGGAGCUGUACCUAAAAGAAAUUAACUCUUCCAUAAAAGUCUCCAGUGCUGAGAAUGCCCUUGCGAUUGAGAAGUGCAUCGGUGCUCACUCCAAGGAUAUGGAGCACCUUCUGCAGCAGUUUGAAGCAAUGUCUGGUCAUGUUAAAGAGGCGGUGUCUAUGGGAGCGCGUGCUGAGAAGACAUCUUCAGAGAAUGCAGAAAAGAUUAUCCAGUUGCUUACGGAAAUUUCUGUCACUUUGAGGGAAGUUCCGCCUAGCAGUACUGGUUCAUUUGCUGACAGAUUCAUGCGGAUGUCGAAGUAUCCAUUCGAGGCAGGCCAGGUCUAUGAGCAGUUUCGACAGUACUUGGAAUUUCUUGGCGGAUUCUUAUUGCUUCUAGGAGUUCUGGAUCCAAAGGAUGAGCAACUGAAGGAGAGGUUCUUUGAAAAGUUCUUACCAGACACCACACCUGGGAUUUAUGAAGAUAUCUGCCGACAGGGUCGAGACCUCAUGUACAAGGAUUUCGCCUCUGACCUGAGCUUUCAGAUGUCAAUGCAGUGUGGUGAUGGUUUUGUUCUUACUUCAUCUGCCAAGAGAUCUCCAAUGGAUGACAAUGUGCAUGGCUGCCAGCUGAGACUUCGGCAGCCCCAACUGAGCCUUGAUUUCAAAUUUGAUACAACAAAACAUGUGAGCGCUAUAGUAUCUUUCCCUGGAGUGCUAGGCUGUGAUGUGAACCCUGUCCUUAAAGUCUGUUACCCAUUCCGGGACUCUUCGUUUAAUUUGGAUGCUCUUUAUCGGCAAGCUGGCUUUCGUGCAAUUGCUUCUAUGCACCCUGUUCGUGGUGAUGCAUUGGUGUCUCUGUCGGGCCUUUUUGGAUCCAGGAGGUUGAACUAUGGGGGUCUUAUGAAGAUGAAUUUGGGGAAUGAGGUGCCUAACUUUUAUUCCCUUGGUUGUUCCUUCAACACUGAAGCUUUCUCGUGUGGCAUCCAGUGUAAUAGCCAUGCUCAGGUGUUGAUGCUGUUAAAUCACAAGCUGGAGCCCUGUUCCUUAUUCAGAGACGCUGUGAGGAGGACCAACCUGGGAGGGGAUCUGUAUGAUCUGCUGGCACGGACCACUCCAUCGCAAACUAUGGUUGGCGCGCAAGCAAUUCAUUGCCUGGCAACUGGCUCGAGUGUGGUCAUGGUUGGUUGCGAGUAUGCUGAUCCGAGCACCCGCUUCAAGCUACGUGUGGGCAGUUCAGGCAUACUUAGUGCUGUUGUGAAGCACAAGUUUUUUGGGUCAGCAUGGGUUGCGCUGAAGUCACACUUCAACUUGAGGAAUAUCCGUGCCGCUCCUCGCCUCGGCCUGUCUAUCAGCAUCGGGGAGGCAUCGUCGUCAUCAUCUUAG
rnacentral:rRNA from 1 species